GUGAACGCUGGCGGCGUGCCUAAUCCCUGCAAGUCGCGCGAACAGACGAGGAGCUUGCUCCUCUGACGUUAGCGGCGGACGGGUGAGUAACACGUGGAUAACCUACCUAUAAGACUGGGAUAACUUCGGGAAACCGGAGCUAAUACCGGAUAAUAUAUUGAACCGCAUGGUUCAAUAGUGAAAGACGGUUUUGCUGUCACUUAUAGAUGGAUCCGCGCCGCAUUAGCUAGUUGGUAAGGUAACGGCUUACCAAGGCAACGAUGCGUAGCCGACCUGAGAGGGUGAUCGGCCACACUGGAACUGAGACACGGUCCAGACUCCUACGGGAGGCAGCAGUAGGGAAUCUUCCGCAAUGGGCGAAAGCCUGACGGAGCAACGCCGCGUGAGUGAUGAAGGUCUUCGGAUCGUAAAACUCUGUUAUUAGGGAAGAACAAAUGUGUAAGUAACUAUGCACGUCUUGACGGUACCUAAUCAGAAAGCCACGGCUAACUACGU
rnacentral:rRNA from 1 species